AGAGUUUGAUCAUGGCUCAGAUUGAACGCUGGCGGUAUGCCUAACACAUGCAAGUCGAACGGUAACGACGGGAGCUUGCUCCCGGGCGACGAGUGGCGGACGGGUGAGUAAUACUUAGGAAUCUGCCCAGUAGUGGGGGACAACUCGAGGAAACUCGAGCUAAUACCGCAUACGCCCUACGGGGAAAAGCGGAGGAUCUUUCGGGACUUCGCGCUAUUGGAUGAGCCUAAGUCGGAUUAGCUUGUUGGUGGGGUAAAGGCCUACCAAGGCGACGAUCUGUAGCUGGUCUGAGAGGACGAUCAGCCACACUGGGACUGAGACACGGCCCAGACUCCUACGGGAGGCAGCAGUGGGGAAUAUUGGACAAUGGGGGCAACCCUGAUCCAGCAAUGCCGCGUGUGUGAAGAAGGCCUGCGGGUUGUAAAGCACUUUCAGUAGAGAAGAAAAGCCUACGGUUAAUACCCGUGAGUCUUGACGUAACCUACAGAAGAAGCACCGGCUAACUCUGUGCCAGCAGCCGCGGUAAUACAGAGGGUGCAAGCGUUAAUCGGAAUUACUGGGCGUAAAGGGCGCGUAGGCGGUUCUGUAAGUCGGGUGUGAAAGCCCCGGGCUCAACCUGGGAACUGCAUUCGAUACUGGGUAUCUAGAGUAUGAUAGAAGGGGUAGUGGAAUUCCCGGUGUAGCGGUGAAAUUGCGUUAGAUAUCGGGGAAGAACACCAGUGGCGCAAGGCGACUACCUGGAUCAAUACUGACACUGAGGUGCGAAAGCGUGGGGAGCAAACAGGAUUAGAGACCCUGGUAGUCCACGCCGUAAACGAUGAGAACUAGAUGCUAGUGAGCUUGACUUAUUAGUGUCGUAGCUAACGCGUUAAGUUCUCCGCCUGGGGAGUACGGCCGCAAGGUAAAACUCAAAGGAAUUGACGGG
rnacentral:rRNA from 1 species